ACAACUUUGUUUCUCUGUUGCUAGGAAACUAGUUUCCCAUUCUUUCUAUUUUCCGCAACAGUCUGUCCAGACAUGUUGCGUCCCUCUUCUUGAUGCAGCCUCCCCAGCACACCACAGCAUAGAAGAGAACACUGGCCACCACAGUCUGGUAGAACAUCAGCAGCAGUUUCUUGCAGAUGUUAAAGGAGCCCAGCCUCCUCAGGAAAUACAGACGACGCUGUGUUUUCCUGUGGAUGGUGUCUGUUCACUAACCAGUCCAGUCUGUCAUCCAACUGCAGACCCAGGUACUGGUAAGUCCUGAGGGGGCAAAGGAGACAUUAACAUGAGAGUCAAACCUGUUGAAGAACUGGUUGAACUGGUUAGCUCUCUCUGUGUCCCCUUCCAGUCUGUCAUCCAACUGCAGACCCAGGUACUUGUAAGUCCUGACCACCUCCACCUCUGUACCCUCGAUGGAGAUCAGUGUGGGAUGGGGUCUGUUCCUCCUGAAGUCAACCACCAACGUCUUGGUGUUGAUUCAAUCGCUGUACCUGUUGAUGCCGCAACUGCGCCAAUCAGCACUGACGGGACCCCGAGGAGGAGGAUGAAGGGAGCAGCAAUAAAGCAGGUGAUCCUGGCUGUGGCAGAGGAAAAAGCCGACAGGGUCCUCUGGUGAAAGUCCUGACAUCCCAGGUGGAGUGAACAAUUUCUUUAACAGCAGAUGUCAAGAGCCAAGUGGGAAAGAAAACUGUGACCUGUUAGGAAGACCACCUUGGUAUAUAAUGAACAGUGCCUAUACAGUAUCUUUGUGACUUAAAAUAAAUAAAGUAAACUAAUCUUGAUUUGCAUGUUAUAAUA